rnacentral:rRNA from 1 species
AACGAACGCUGGCGGCAUGCCUAACACAUGCAAGUCGAACGAGACCUUCGGGUCUAGUGGCGCACGGGUGCGUAACGCGUGGGAACCUGCCCUUAGGUUCGGAAUAACUCCCCGAAAGGGGUGCUAAUACCGGAUAAUGUCUUCGGACCAAAGAUUUAUCGCCUUUGGAUGGGCCCGCGUUGGAUUAGCUAGUUGGUAGGGUAAAAGCCUACCAAGGCGACGAUCCAUAGCUGGUCUGAGAGGAUGAUCAGCCACACUGGGACUGAGACACGGCCCAGACUCCUACGGGAGGCAGCAGUGGGGAAUAUUGGACAAUGGGCGAAAGCCUGAUCCAGCAAUGCCGCGUGAGUGAUGAAGGCCUUAGGGUAGUAAAGCUCGUUUACCCGGGAUGAUAAUGACAGUACCGGGAGAAUAAGCUCCGGCUAACUCCGUG